UUACUGGUGGGUAUUAAAGGUGG
rnacentral:piRNA from 1 species